rnacentral:rRNA from 1 species
AUUGAACGCUGGCGGCAGGCCUAACACAUGCAAGUCGAACGAGUGGCGGACGGGUGAGUAAUGUCUGGGAAACUGCCCGAUGGAGGGGGAUAACUACUGGAAACGGUAGCUAAUACCGCAUACCAUCGGAUGUGCCCAGAUGGGAUUAGCUAGUAGGUGGGGUAAAGGCUCACCUAGGCGACGAUCCCUAGCUGGUCUGAGCGGAUGACCAGCCACACUGGAACUGAGACACGGGCCAGACUCCUACGGGAGGCAGAAGUGGGGAAUAUUGCACAAUGGGCGCAAGCCUGAUGCAGCCAGGCCGCGUGUAUGAAGAAGGCCUGCGGGUUGUAAAGUACUUUCAGCGGGGAGGCGUUACCCGCAGAAGAAGCACCGGCUAACUCCGUGCCAGCAGCCGCGGUAAUAC